rnacentral:lncRNA from 1 species
AGUGGAAGCUGGGGUGUCGGCGGGCGGCCGCGGCCGGGUCUAGCGGUGCCUGCGGAAGAAGGAGGAGGAGGGCUGGCGAUGAGAAGCAGCAGGGGGAAUCAAGGGCAAGAAGGGACCCAGAGGGGCAGGUGGCUGAGAUGCUGGCGUCCAGGUGACCCGAGGAAUCCUCUGGAGAUACAGGCCCGCGCAUGCGCGUGCUCGAGCGCUGAAGCCCAUUGCCCGCAGGGCGCUGGACUGGCGCCCCGGCCGGCGAGGCUGUCUAGUCCAGGCUCCAGGCCCCGGCUCUGGCCAGGCGCCGCCGCCUCCCGGUGCAGCUGAAAGUCGACGAAGAGGGCGGGGCGGGGGCGGCUUGUGGACUUCCACACUUUUCCUCUCUUCGGGCCAGUCUGGGGAGAGGGUGGCUAGCUGUGGCGGCGGCCAAUUACGUGGCGGACCUGCGGGGCUAAGCUGGCACGUCACUUCCGACUAGUGGAGUUUUUAGCCUUUUAACAUUCAAGGAUUAGAGCUCCCUCUUUGCCCACUAGCAGGGCAUUAGCUGGUGCUGAAGACAGUGGCUGCUUGGCGAGCCUGGAUCUCCAAGUGACCCCCUCAGCAACUCCUGAUGAACAGGACUGAAGCCAAUAUUAAAGCAAGUCAACCAAAGGUUCUCUGGUGUAGACAAGACAGCAAAAGGACAGACUACCUUGUGGAACCUAGCAUUGUUCUCCUUCUGCAGCACUAAGUAACAUUUGUUCUCCGUUAAGAUCUUUGCAAACCACACACAAGAAUUGCUGGUCAUCCUGCCAAUAGAUGCUGCUCACAGAACCAAAUUUCCUGUGCUGAAUUGUCACUCAUGGGCUUGAGAGUAGGAGACUGGAGACCAAGGUGGCUAGAAUCCAGUUGGGCCUGAUGUCUCCCUGUUGAAAGGGCUCCUUGUGGAAUGAAUAGCACAUGGCUCCUGUGGUGGAUCUGAUAGUGGCAUAGCACCAAGUGAUGCAGGCCUGCCAGGGGCCACAGACACAGAAGAUGCUCCCGGGGUCCCCCAUGUACUCCAGACACACUGCAGGCCACCUCUCCCAGCAGGUUGCCAGUCAUGGGCCCCAUCAUCAUGACUUCUGUCCAAGGUGUGCUCGGAAAUCUCUUCCUUAACUGUGACUUUCUGACAGGUGGAGGAUGUGGUCAGGAGUGGGAAAAGGAUUCGAGACGGGAAGAGGGAGGGGUUCAGGAUGAAGAGAGAUAAUCUGUGCCACAGAUGCUGGCCCUGCAGUUAGCUCCCACCUAGUCCGUGCACACACAUUCUAAUCCCCUCCCAUUCCUUUACAUGCUGCGGCCAGAGAGGCCUUUCUCAAAGUGGAAGUCUCAUCCUCACUUCUCUGGUUACAGUGCUGGGCCAUGGUAACUUACAAGGCUUAGCAGGAACUGUCUGCGCACUCCCCCUUCCUGCCCACUACCUUGUUUCCCUCCAGUUGCGAGAGAAAACAUUGAUUGAGCAUUAACUAUGUGCCAGGCUUGUCCUAAGUCCUUUGCAUGUAUUCACUCAAACAAUCCUCACAACAUUCCUAUCACAUCUCCCAUUUCACAGUGAGGGUUCUAAAGCACGUAGUGGGUGAGGAACUUGUCCAGGGUCACACAACUAAGUGGGGGUGGAGAAACAUCAAAUCUAGGUGGUCCAGGUGGUGGCCAGAACCCAUCAGCACCUCACUACAGCUGCCUCCAGUUUCUCGCUCUAGGAAAUACUCUUCCCUGUCAACUCCUGUUGUCCUCUGGGCUCAGUUGACAUGUCAUCUCCUUGAGGAGGACAUCCUGAGAUGCUCCCCGACUAGGGUGGGCACCCACUUCCACACUCCAAAUGCCUAUUUGACCUGUGUAUCGCUGCAUCCCCACUGCCUGGCAGAUAGCAGGCCCCUAAUAAAUAUGAUUUGAGCAAAUAAAUAUAGUUCUUCAAAAAAUAGGGAGGACUUCUUGCUUCAGGUAAUGGUAGGCUAGGACAUUUGGACCAACCCUCCUGCAGAAAAUAGCCAUUUAUUUUGAUGCAAUAUAUCUGGCUAUGACUAGAGAUUUCAAAUAUUUGGAGGGCUAUUAUGUGAAGAACUAAACUUACUCUUUGUGACAUAGAGGUCAGAAAUUGGUCGUUUCCAUAGAGUAUGAGAGAGACAGAAUUGUGCUCAUCAUAAGUAUCUUUUUUAAAAGUUAGACUUAAUAAAAUGGGCUGCCUUGGUAGGUGGUGAGUUCUCUGUCACGAAAGAGAUUCAGCCACUUGCUCUGAGAAAGCAUGGAGAAUAUCAACAUUGUAAGGGUCGACCACCUCAUCUCUGAGGCCCCCUCCUCACUUAGGUUGCCAUUGCAGGUGGAACACUGGGCUGAGUGUCAAAGAACCUGGGUUCCACAAGCUGUGCGACCAUGGCUGGUUGUUUUGGAUCUCAUUCCUAAUAUCUGUUAGUUAAGCUGACCCGUCAAUACUGACCCACUUCACAGAGUUAUGAAGGGAUUAAAUUAGGUAUUACAUGUAAAUCUGUUUUGUUUGCUUUUUGUUGUUCUUUUUUGUUUUGCUUUUUUCUUUGCAUUAUGAAAUCCCAAGUCAACUUUUUCCAUUCUUUUAUUUUUUUAAAAAUUGACAUCAUCAUUAUAACCACAAAAUAAUUUUUAAAAUGGAAAAAAAAAACUCACCUGCAACCCCACAAUCUAAUACAAUAAUCAUACUUUUUUCCCUUUAUUCUCCUUUAUUGUGACCAAGGAUGACUUUGGGCAUUGCUGUGAGGAACUAUUUCGUUUAACACCCUACUACCUGAACAUGAUGCGUACUCAGCCUUUCACCACCCCCCAAGUAGCUACACAUGAUGUGAUAAUAGUAUUGGUGGUGGUUUUAGAGAGUUGGAGAGAAAACUGAAGUUGGAUUUGGGUAAAAGAAAAAAGAGUGGGAAUUAUUUUUUCUCCAUUCUAAAGCCCAUAAAGCAAUGUUAAUUGUUCCCACCCCUCUGCUAUUCUGUCUCCUCAGGUACUGUGUGCAGAAAUGUGAUUGAGAUUCAAGUCAGGGCCUCUCUGCCCUUUUCCCUCCAGAAACAAAACCAAGAUAAUUUAUCCUGAACACGGUGAAAAAAGGAAGGGAGGGAGGAGAAAAAGUCCGGGUCUCACCUGGGAUUCUCUGUCUCCUGCAACAUGAAGGAUUUAGCCUGGGAGGAGGUGGUGAGAACUCUGGGAGAGAAAAAAGAAGGAAAGAAUAGUUUUACCCAUGCUGAAGUUAAUUUAAACCUUCACCUAGAGAAGCAAAAAAAAAAAACCCACACUUUCCCAUUUUGUGCCUCCCUUCCUAGAGUUUUAGCCAAAGGUUUAGCUAAGUAAUUGGUUUUACCAGCGCACUCACUCCUCCUAUCCCAAGUCUGUUUGACUCCCUCCCCAUCAUCCUCCUCACCUCUUUUCAGGCAGGGUGGGGAUAGCAGCAGGAGGAGAUUUUGGGAGCCUGGCAACUCCUGCAAGGACCGCAGGACAGCCCCUCUGUGGGGAUGCGUGGUGCCCCAUCUGCCGCCCUUCUGAAGAAUGCACUGCCUUCACUUUUUACUGUGUUAGAGUCCAUCCAGACUGUUCUAUCCAAAAAAGUUUCUUUUUCCCCCACAGGCAAUCAGGAAAUGAUUCCUUUCCCGACUGCUUCUGUCUAGUGCCUGGGAAUCUUGAGUCAAUCCCUCAGUAAGUCAGUGACUAGGGAAAUCCCUCUCUGAGCCUCCCAGUUCAUGUUGCUUAGGGAACCUGAUAUUUUCGUGAAACCUGCCUACACAUGGGCAGCCCAACAGCAGAACAAAUGGUGGUGACCAAAGUGAACAAAGAAGUAUAGUUGUGCCAGCUUCGUAGUUGCCCAUGUGGACAAGUCAGCAGGAUCAGGACACGAGGAAGAGUAAAUGUGAGACAGUCAAUGUGACUUCUGCGAUAAACAGAUUUUUAAACCCCGAAAUUUUGCAAAAUUUUGGUGAAACCUGAACUUUCUUCGUUGCAUAUACUGGCACUAUCUGUACCAUCAUACAACUGUCUCACAUUAAAGCUAUUUUUCUUGGGCACUGAUGAGUAAGGUUGGUAUAAGUUCCUCAGAUCAACAAAAACCCAUUUUCCUGUAAGUCUUACAUUUAGUAUUUAAGGAACUAAAACUUAAAUACAUUUUGUGAAAUGGUUGACACUUCACUGAUAAUGAUUUAUUGCUUGGAUUAAUAAAUUUUCCAAAAGUUGUCUUAUGUAGAAUAUGGUUUGCAACCAGCAGAACCAUUAAUCUAUACUGCAAUGAUAUGCACUAUGUAUAAUUGUUUAAAAGCCUCUACUUAAUGAUGUAAAAUGCUCUAUUUAAUUACACAUUUGGGUAAACUGUAUACUAACAUCUGAUGGCAUUUUUCCACUGUUUGUUGCUUUUUUCAAAUACUUUAUUGUACAAAGCUGUUCUUAAUAUUUUUCAAGUUUUUUUCUUUGAAUUUUGCUAAUGUUUUCCUUGAAUUAUGAGCACUGACAGAAUGUGCUUAGCACUUUUGGCUAUUCACACAGCUUUUGAGCAUGAUUUGCAUCCAAUAUUUACAUUGCUAGCAAUAAUAAGCCAUCUGUGAGUUUUGUCAAAAGUUAUUGGGGAUUUUUUAAAUUUUAGAAAUGCAAAUUAUUGUUUCUUUGAACUAACUCUUAUGCAGUUGCAAAGGCAUUUCCAGUUGUUAUAGUUUGUGUACAAUAUCAGGUGUUCCAGAUUAUGAUUCAUUAUUAAUAUCAUUGCUUCCUUGUUCCCUCUGAGGUCCAGAAGAUUCAUGUUUACAAUAUUUAGAAACAAUGUUAAAAAGGUAUCCAAAGUUUGUCACUUUAUUAUUAGUUUGUUCUUAAUAUUCUGUUUAAGUUUUUGAAUUCAUAGAUAUCAAAACGCUGCACAAUUAUGAUUUCCACAGGAAUAACAACACACUAACAAUAAGAACCAAAAACAGCAAAUAGGCUGCCUACAAGUUUUGACAAUAUUAGGAUAAUGAUAAUGACAGUUUUUCUAAAUCUCACAGUAAAGAAUGCAGCAACCCAGCAACACUGCUACCUGUGGCCUCAGGCUGCAGUGUCAGCUCUUCCCUGGGUCUCCAGCCUGCCAGUCUAACCUGAAAAUUAUGUACUUGCCAGCCCCCACAGUCACGUGAGUGAACUGGCCCAGGCUGGUCACCAGGGUCAGUUUCUCUGUGUGUCAUUAAUUCAUUCAGUCUUCAGCAGUCUCUUUGGAGCUGAGAUGUACCUACCAUCUGCCUUUUGGGUGCUUAGGGUGGAGAACCAGAAAAGUAUAACCUAGUGUGUAUCCUCAAAGAGCUAACAAUAUGGGGUGGUACCUAUAGGUCUGGAAACACUUUACUGACUCUGUGAGGCAUACCAGGAGACGUCAGAGAACAGUCCCUCCUCAAAUGCCAAAUGAGAUGCAGAAGAAAUAGUUUGCUCAAGUUCAUGGGCCAGAUAUCCCAGUGGUCAGGGAGUUUCAUGAAUGAGAUGGAACUUUGCAUGGAACCCGAGGGAUGUGUAUGAUUUGAGUAGAUGAAGAAAAUGAGACUUUCCAAGCAGCUAGAAGUUAGGGAGCAGCAAGAUGUGUGGUGGGAUUGAGCACAGUUGGUUCAGAGGAUAGACUGCAGUUUUAAUAAUUUGUAGUAAAUAUCUCCCAACUGUUUGGCACUAUUGGAGCAAGUUCUUGAAUGCCAAAUGAAGGCAUAAAUCAGUAAGAGGCAUAAUAAAAGGCUGAGCAGUGCUUGGCUUUUUACGAACUGAUCCUGAUAGGAGCAGCUGUUCAACAAAGUUGCCAGGUCACCGUUACAUAGUCCCUGCCUUCUAGGGGCUCACUGCCUACUGGGAGAGACAGUCUGAAAGUUGGUGGAGCAUGUAACUGUUGGAUGAGGAGUUUGAGCCUGUGGACUGUGGGACCCCCGAGGAGGGUGUGGCUACUCUAGGCAGAACAAUCCCACAGUUUAUUUAUAUUUAACCUUGAAAUUCAUUAGAGGAUUUUUCAGCAGAGGUUUGGUACUUGUUAAUGUUAAGGUUUGCAUUCUCUAGAACCUCAAGGAAAGCUGUACCGUGCAUAAUGUACCCUCUUAUGUUAAUGUUGUGUACUGUGAUCCUGUUUCAGGGACUUGCACUUAGGAAUCUGUUACAGUGAGCACAGAAGCAGACCUGUGGGCUCAUAGUCUUCACCCCCCACCCAUAUAUACAAGAUGAACAGAGUGGAGGUUAAACAACUUGACUAAACAACACAGUUCAUGGUAAAGCCCAAGACUGUACCUGCCCAUCCACUGCCUUUUCCAUGUAUCCUGGAACUGAGCAUAGACCUCUUCCCAGGCAGAGCUGACAGCAAGUAAAGGAGAUCAUAAUCAGGGGACCAAACAACUUUGUCUAAAGUGUGAAUGUCACCUAAGGAGAAGCUGUGAGAUCAGAAGGGUGGGGCAGAGGAGCAGACACCAUGAGGGAGAGUCCUUGGGGGUACAUCUGCCAGACUGACACUGUCUGGCCUGGGCAGUGGAGGGGCUAGCAGGAACCACAGGUACUGGUGGUGUGGCUACUACCGUUACAACUGCCUGUGCUUGGACAUGGACCCUCUGCAAUAUGCGGCAGUUUCAUUCAUUGCCCCCUACAUUCUACACCAAGUAGAAAUGGAAGGCAAUUGGAUACUUCACAGACAAGAUCUAAGUGGAGAAGGAAUGCGUCCUGUGGCUGCAGAGAUCCUUGGAGCUUGGAGGGGAGAGCUUGAGCCCCACUGAUGAUGACCUCCCACAGCUCGCCAACUCAGCCCUCCCUAAGUCCCCAUCGGGGGCCAAUUCUCACUCUGGGGUUGGGGGGACUCCACCAUAGCUCAUCCAUCAUAGGGAUGUUGGUAUCUACUGUGGGUUGGGUAGGGCCGAUGUGCUGAGGAUGGCUCCCCCACAAGCAAGAGAUGUGGAUUUGGGGAGCUUCCCAUCUUGUGUUGAAGGAACAUAACUCAGAAUAAUAAGAGCCAACUAUAACAAACCCACAGCCAACAUCAUACUGAAUGGGCAAAAGCUGCAGGCAUUCCCCUUGAAAAGUGGCACAGGAUAAGGAAGCCCUUUCUCACCACUCCUAUUCAAUAUAGUGUUGAAAGUCCUGAUCACAGCAGUCAGGCAACAGAAAUAAUAAAGGGCAUCCAAAUAGGAAGAGAGGAAGUCAAACUAUCCUUGUUUGCAGACAGUAUGAUUCUAUAUCUAGAAAACCCCAUAGCCUCAGCCCAAAAGGUCCUUCAUCUGAUAAUUUCAGCAAAGUUUCAGGAGACAAAAUCAGUGUACAAAAAUCACUAACAUUCCUAUACACAGUCGCCAAGCCAAGAGCCAAAUCAGGAGCACAAUCCCAUUCAUAAUUGCCACAAAAAAGAAUAAAAUACCCAGGAAUGCAGCUAACCAAGGAAGUAAAGGAUCUCUACAAUGAGAAUCACAAACGCUGCUCAAAGAAAUCAGAGAUGACACAAACAAAUGGAAAAACUUUCCAUGCUCAUGGCUAGGAAGAAUCAAUAUCAUUAAAGUGGCCAUACUACCCAAAGCAAUUUAUAGAUUCAAUGCUAUUCCUAUCAAACUAUCAAUUACAUUUUUCACAGAACUAGAAAAAACUUAAAAUUCAUAUGGAACCAAAAAGCCUGAGUAGUCAAGGCAAUCCUAAACAAAAAGAACAAAGGUGGAGGCAUCACAUUACCUAACUUCAAACUACAGGGCUACCAUGACCAAAACAGCAUGGUACUGGUACAAAAGCAGACACACAGACCAGUGGGACAGAAUAGAGAGCCCAAAAAUAAGGCCACAAACCUACAGCCAUCUGAUCUUCAACAAAGUUGACAAAAACAAGCAAUGGGGAAAGGUCUCCCUAUUCAAUAAAUGGUGCUGGGAUAACUGGCUGGCCAUAUGCAGAAGAUCGUAACUGGACCCCUUUUACUAUGUACAAAAAUUAAGAUGGUUUAAAGAGUUAAAACCCAAAAUUAUAAAAAUCCUGAAGAUAACUUAGGCAAUACCAUUCUGGACAUAGGAACUGGCAAAUAUUUCAUGAUGAAGACACCAAAAGCAAUUGUAACAAAAGCAAAAAUGGACAAAUUGGAUUUAAGAGCUUUUUCAUAGCAAAAUAAACAACAGGGCAGACAAUCUACCAAAUGACAGAAAAUUUUUGCAAACUAUGCAUCUGACAAGGGGCUAAUAUCUAGCAUCUAUAAGGAAUUUAAACACAGUUACAGGAAAAAAAAAACCCACUCCAUUAAAAAAUGGGCAAAGGACAUGAACAGACACUUUUCAAAAAAGACAUACAUACAGCCAACUAGCGUGUUAAAGAAAACCUCAAUUAUCACUGAUCAUUAGAGAAAUGCAAAAUCAAAACCAUGAUGAGAUAUCAUCUGCCAGUCAGGAUGGCUACAAAAAAGUAAAAAAAUAAUAGAUGUUGGUGAGGUUAUGGAGAAAAGGAACUUAUACACUUGUUAGGAGUGUAAAUUAGUUCAAUCACUGUGGACAGCAGUGUGGUGAUUCCUCAGAGAGCUAAAAACAACUACCAUUUGACUCACCAAUCCCAUUACUGGAUAUUUACCUAAAGGAAUAUAAAUCAUUCCACCAUAAAGACACAUGCAAGUGUAUGUUCAUUGCAGCACUAUUAACAGUAACAAAGCUGGGCACAGUGGCUCACCUCACGACUGUAAUCCCAGCACUUUGGGAGGCUGAGGUAGGCGGAUCACCUGAGGUCGGCAGUUUGAGACCAGCCUGACCAACAUGGAGAGACCCCAUCUCUACUAAAAAUACAAAAUUAGCCAGGUGUGGUGGCUCAUGCCUGUAAUCCCAGCUACUUGGGAGGCCAAGGCAGGAGAAUUGCUUGAACCCAGGAGGCAGAGGUUGCAGUGAGCCGAGAUCACACCAUUGCACUCUAGCCUGGUGAAGGAGCAAGACUCCAUCUCAAAAAAAAAAAAAAAAAAGAAAGAAAGAAAAAUACACAUUCAGAGGAGACAAAAAAUAAAAAACAAUGAUGCAUGCCCACAGGAUCUAGAAAAUAACUUCUUAAGGGCAAAUCUAGGAGUUAUUGGCCUUAAAGAAGAGAUAGAGAAAGAGAUAGGAAUAGAAAGUUUGUUGAAAGGGAUAAUAACAUAGAACUUCCUAAACCUACAGAAAGAUAUUUAUAUCCAAGUACAAGAAGGUUAUAGAACACCAGGCCAAUUUAACCCAAAGAUUACCUCAAGGCAUUUAAUAAUCAAACUCCCACAGGACAAGGGUAAAGAAAGGAUCCUAAAAGCAGCAAGAGAAAAGAAACAGAUAACAUACAAUGGAGCUCCAAUACAUCUGGCAGUAUAUUUUUCAGUGGAAACCUUACAAGCCAGGAGAGAGUGACAUGACAUAUGUUAAAGUGCUGAAGGGAAAAAACCUUUUACCCUAGAAUAGUAUAUCCAGCAAAAAUAUCCUUCAAACAUGAAGAAUAAACAAAGACUUCCCCAGACAAACAAAAGCUGAGGGAUUUCAUCAACACUAGACUGGUCCCAUAAGAAACGCUUAAGGGAGUACUUUGGUCAGAAAGAAACAGACAUUAAUGAGCAACAAAGAAUCAUCUAAAGGUAAAAAACUCACUGUUAAGAGUAAGUACACAGAAAAACCCAAAGUGUGAUAACAUUGUAACUGUGGUGUGUAAGUAGAAAGAAUAAAUGAUAAACCAAUCAAAAAUAGUAACUACAACUUUUCAAGACCAGUCAGAAAAAUAAGAUAAAAUUAGAAACAACAAAAAGUUAAAAAGUGGGGGGAUGAAGUUAAGAUGUAGAGUUUUUAUUAGUUUUUUGUUUGUUAAUGCAAACAGUGUUACCAGGUUAAAAUAAUGGGUUACAAAAUAGUAUUUGUAAUCCUUAUGGUAACCUCAAACCUAAAAACAUACACUGGAUACAUAAAAAAUAAAAAGCAAAAACCUAAAUCAUAUCACCAGAGCAAACUACCUUCCCUAAAGGAAGACAGGAAGAAAAGAAAGAAGAAGACCACAAAACAACCAGAAAACAAAUAAAUAACAAGGCAGGAGUAAGUCUUUACUUAUCGAUAAUACAUUGAAUGGAAAUAUGGACUAAACUCUCCAAUCAAAAGACAUAGACUGGCUGAAUGAAUGGAGAAAACAAGACCCAUUGAUCUGUUGCCUACAAGAAACACACUUAAACUAUAAAGACACACAUAGGCUGAAAGUAAAGAGUUGGAAAGAGUUAUUCCAUGCCAAUGGAAACCAGGAAAAAGAGAAGGAGUAUUGAUUUUGAUACAAAAACUAUGAGACAAAUAAAGUCACUAUACAAUGAUAAAGGGGUUAAUAUGGUUUCCAUUUGUGCCCCACCCAAAUUUCGUGUUCUAUUGUAAUCCUCAAUGUUGGAGGUGGGGCCUGGUGGGACGUGAUUAGAUCAUGGGGGUGGAUCUUUCAUGACUAAUUCAGCACCAUCUUCUUAGUGCUGUUCUCAUGAUAGUGAGUUCUUCUGAAAUCUGGUUGCUUAAAAGUGUGUAGCACCUCUCCACACCACCCGCUUGCCUUGGUCUACUCCUGCUAUGUAGAUGCUUGCUCCCACUUUGCAUUAUUCCAUGAGUAAAAGCUCCCUCAGGCCUUCCCAGAAUCAGAUGCCGCUAUGCUUCCUGAACAGCCUGUGGAACUAUGAGCCAAUUCAACCUCUUUUCUUCAUAAAUUAACAAGUCUUGGGUAUUUCUUUAUAGCAGUGUGAGAACAGAAUAAUACAGAAAAUUGGUAAAGAGGAGUGAGGCAUUGCUAGAAAGAUACCUGAAAAUGUGGAAACAGCAGUGGAACUGGGAAAUAGACAGAGGUUGGAAGAGUGUGGAGGGCUCCGAAGAUAGGAAGAUGAGGGGAAGUUUGGAAUUUCUUAGAGAUUUGUUAAAUUGUUUUGACCAAAAUACUGAUGGUGAUAUGGACAAUGAAGUCCAGGCUGAGGAGGUCUCAGAUGGAGAUGAGGGACUUAUUGGGACCUGGAGUGAAGGUCACUUUUGUUAGGACAUUGUGGUUGGAGACAUUGUGCCCCUGCCCUAGGAAUCUGUGGAACUUUGAACUUGAGAGCGAAGAUUUAGGGUAUCUGGCAGAAGAAAUUUCUAAGCAGCAAAGCGUUCAAGACGUGGCCUGGCUGCUUCUGGUAGUCUGUGCUCAUAUUUGUGAGCAAAGACAUGACAAGAAACUGGAACUUAUAUUUAAAAAGGAAGCAGAGUGUAAAAGUUUGGAGAAUUUGCAGCCUGGCCAUGUUGUAGAAAAGAAAAAAACCAUUUUCUGGAGAGGAAUUCAAGCUAGCUGCAGAAAAUUGCAAGUAACAAGGAGCAAAAUGUUGAUAGCCAAGAUAGUGGGAAAAACACCUUGAAGGCAUUUCAGAUACCUUGGGGGCAGCCUCUCCCAUCACAGGCCCAAAGGCCUAGGAGGGAAGGAUGGUUUCCUGGGCCAGGCUCAGGGUCCUGCUGCCCUGCACAACCUCAGGAAACUGCUCUCCAAAUCCCAGCUGCUCCAGCUCCAGCUUCAGCUCAAAGGGCCCCAGGUAUAGCUCAGGCUGCUGCUCCAUAGGAUGCAAGUUAUAAGCCUUAGUGGCUCCCGUGUGGUGUUAAAUUAAGCCUGUAGGUGCACAGAGUGCAAGAAUUGAGGCUUGGGAGCCUCCAACUAGAUUUCAGAGUAUGUGUGGGAAAGCCUGGAUGUCCAGGCAGAAGCCAGCUGCAGGGACAGAGCCCUCAUGGAGAACCUCUACUAGGGUAGUGUGGAGGGGAAAUUUGGGGUUGGAGUUCCCACACAGCUUCCCCUCUGGUGUACUGCCUAGUGGAGCUGUGAGAAGACAGCCACUGUCCUCCAGAUUCCAGGAUGAUAGAUCUGCCAAUGACAGCUUGCACUGUACAACUGGAAAAGCCACAGGCAGUCAAUGCCAGCCCGUGAAAGCAGUGACAGUGGCUUACCCUGCAAAGUCCCAGGGGCUGAGCUGCCCAAGGCCUUGGGAGCCCACCCCUUGCACCAGUGUGCCCUGGAUGUGAGAUAUGGAGUCAAAGGAGAGUAUUUUGGAGCUUUAAGAUUUAAUGACUACCUGCUGGGUUUCAGACUUGCAUGGGUCCAGUAGCCCCUUUCUUUUGGCCAAUUUCUCACUUUUGGAAUGGGAGUGUUUACCCAAUUCCUGUACCCCCACUGUAUGUUGGAAGUAACUAACUGUUUUUUUAUUUUGUAAGCUCACAGGUGGGAGAGACUUGCCUUGUCUCAGGUUGAGACUCUGGACUUUGGACUUUUGAAUUAAUGCUGGAAUGAGUUAAGACUUUGAGGGACUGUUGGGAAGAUAUAACUGUAUUUUGCAGUAUGAGAAGGACAUGAGAUUUGGGAGACACCAGAGGUGGAAUAAUAUGAUUUGGAUCUGCAUCCCCACCAAAAUCUCAUGUUCAAUUGUAAUCCUAAAUUUUGGAGGUUGAGCCUGGUGGAAGAGGAUUGGAUAAUGGGGGUGGUUUCUCAUGGUUUAACACCAUCCCCCUGGGUGCUGUUCUCAUGACAGUGAGUGAGUUAUUGUGAGAUCUGAUUGUUUAAAAGUGUGUGCCACCUCCUCCCACUUUCCUCCUGCUCCAGCCAUGUAAGACAGGCUUGCCUCCCCUUCACCUUUUGUCAUGAUUGUAAGUGUUCUGAGGCCUCCCCAGCCAUGCUUCCUGUACAGCCUGCAGAACUGUGAGCCAAUUAAACCUCUUUUCUCUAUAUAUUACCCAGUCUCGGGUAUUUCUUUAUAGCAGUGCAAGAAUAGACUAAUACAGGGUUCAAUUCAGCAAGAGGAUAUAACAAAUAUAAAUAUAUAUGCACUCAACACUGCAGCACCCAGAUAUAUAAAGCAAAUACGAUUAGAGCUAAAGAGAGAGAGUGACCCCAAUACAAUAAUAGCUGGAGACUUCAACACCACAUUUUCAGCACUGGACAGAUCUUCCAGACAGAAAAUAAAAAAGAAACAUCAGACUUAAUCUGCACUGUAGAUCAAAUGGAUCUAAUACAUACUUGCAGAACAUUUUAUCCAAUGGCUGCAGAAUACACAUUCUUUUUUAGCACAUGUAUCAUUCUCAAGGAUAGACCAUAUGUUAGGUCACAAGUCUUAAAACAUUAAAAAAGUUGAAUACCAUCAAGCAUCUUCUCUGACCACAGUGGAAUACAACUAGAAACUAAUAACAAGAGGAAUUUUUGAAACUACAAAUACAUGAAAAUUAAACAAUAUGCUCCUGAAUGACCAUUGAGUCAAUGAAGAAAUUAAGAAGGAAAUUGAACAAUUUCUUGAAACAAAUGAUAAAGGAAACACAACAUACCAAAACCUAUGGGAUACGGCAAAAGCAGUACUAAGAGGCAAAUUGAUAGCUAUAAGUGCCUACAUGAAAAAAGAGGAAAAACUUCAAAUAAGCAAUUUAACAAUGAACCUUAACCAGAAAAGCAAGAGCAAAACAAACACAAAAUUAGAAGAAAACAAAUAAUAAAAAUUAGAGCAUAAAUAAAUAAAAUUGAAAUAAAAAUCAAUGCAAAAGAACAAUGAAACAAAAAGUUGCUUUUUUUCAAAAGUUAAACAAAACUGACAAGCCUUUAGCAAGACUGAGAAAAAAGAGACAAGAUACAAAUCAGAAAUGAAAAAGACAUUACAACUGACACUGCAGAAAUUCAAAGGAUCAUUAGGGGCUACUAUGAGCAACUCUAUGCCAAUAAAUUGGAAAAUCUAGAAGAAAUUGACAAUUCCUAGACACAUACAACCUACUGAGACUGGACCAGGAAGAAAUCCAAAACCUGAACAGACUAAUAACAAGUAACAAGGUUGAAGCCAUAAUAAAAAGUCUCCCACUAAAGAAAACCAAGGACCCGAUGGCUUCACUGUUGAAUUCUACCAAACAUUUAAAGAAGAACUAAUACCAAUCCCACUCAAGCUAUUGAAAAAUAGAGGAGGAGAGAAUAUUUCCAAAGUCAUUCUAGGAGACCAGUAUCACCCUGAUACCAAAACCAGACAAAGACACAUCAAAAAAAGAAAACUGCUGGCCAAUUUCUCUGAUGAAUAUUGAUGCCAGAAUCCUCAGCAAAAUAUUAGCAAACUAAAUUCAACAAUACAUUAAAAAGAUCAUUCAUCAGGGUCGGGUGCAGUGGCUUAAGCCUCUAAUCCCAGCACUUUGGGAGGCCGAGGUGGGCAGAUCACCUGAGGUCAGGAGUUCAAGACCAGCCUG